rnacentral:rRNA from 1 species
CAGUAGCCACGGGAAUACGGAGGGUGCAAGCGUUAUCCGGAUUCACUGGGUUUAAAGGGUGCGUAGGCGGAUCUGUAAGUCAGUGGUGAAAUCUCCAGGCUUAACCUGGAAACUGCCGUUGAUACUAUAGGUCUUGAAUUUUGUGGAGGUUAGCGGAAUAUGUCAUGUAGCGGUGAAAUGCAUAGAUAUGACAUAGAACACCAAUUGCGAAGGCAGCUGGCUACACAACUAUUGACGCUGAGGCACGAAAGCGUGGGGAUCAAACAGGAUUAGAUACCCCCGUAGUCCCUGUCUCUUAUAC